rnacentral:rRNA from 1 species
UUCUGGGAGGAUUGACAGAAUGAGAGCUCUUUCUUGAUUCGGUGGAUGGUGGUGCAUGUCCAUUCUUAGUUGGUGGAGCGAUUUGUCUGGUUAAUUCCGAUAACGAAGGAGACUCUAAUCCAUUAAAUAGGUGCGUGGUUCUCUGCACCUUGCACCCUUCUCAGAGGAACAAGUGGCUCCUAGCCACACGAAACAGAGCAAUAAAGCCUAGCCCACA